rnacentral:lncRNA from 1 species
CGUCGGUUAGUUAGUUACUAAACAAGCAGUCACAUUUUUGAAGCUGCUGUUGUUUGGUCGGCAAGUGGACGACUCUAUGCUCUUUCUCUGAUAAAGAUGGUUUGUAGCAUCAGCCGACAGCUCAGACGCUCCCAGGACGGUCUAUAUCUCUGGCACUGGUGCCGUUCUCCUCUUGUUGAAGGACCGGAGACAUGCAGUCCCACAGUGGCCGACAGUGCUGGAUAAUUGACACAUUUCCACAAGGCUUUGAUGACUCUCGUCUUCUGUCAGUGUCAUGUUAGACACGCUAAGGAAGCGGACAGGACUGGUAUCUCUGAUCUGUCUGUAAAUGUUACGUCAGGUUAAAUGGUUGUGGAUCAGCAUGAGCGUGUGCACAUCGUUCCCUCCGCCUCACCUCACGGCCGUGAUCUGAUCUUCCACCUCGUACGUCCCCAGCCGCUCGUAGAUGGCGUGCAUUAUUUCAUCCCCCUGGAAACCACUUCCCCUGCCGUCAAAACUGGCCACGAUGAUCCUCUCGGUGCUGCACAGAUCAGCUGGACAAUUGAGAAGCUCAAGAUUCAUGAAUGAAAGUGAAUGUCAUCUUUUUUUUUUUACCUGGAGAAUAUGCUCCUCCGCCAUCUGCUGGCUCACCGCUCCUCCCACACCAGGUAGCGAAUCAUGAUGUGGUUAUACACACCGCCCUUCUUCGUGUGGUGGCACUCAUCAAUAACCAUCAGGGUGAACUCUGUAGGUGUACAGUGGGAAUCAGAACUGACCAUUAGAAUUCAUCCAGUUUAGUACUACAUACAGGUAAAGUCAAAUUAUUCACCCUCUUUUGAGAUUUUAGUUUUCUGAUUUUACCCAAAUGAUAUUUAAGAAAGGAAAGAGUUUUUCCACAGAUUUUCCUAUAAUAUUUUUUGUUCUAGAGAAAGUCUGAUUUGU